CUCACUGCUCUUAAUUAUUCUAAUAUAUUCAUAAAAACAUCAUCAAAAUCAGUUACAUCACUACAGCAACAUGAGUCAGAGCAAUGAAUCUAAAUGAAUCAGUGCAAGGAAUGAAAAUGAAUCGAUUCGCUGAAUUUAUCAUGAAACAAAAUGAAUUAAAAUCAAAGUGAAUCAAUGCAGUGAUCCAAAUUGAAUUGAAUGAUUUAAGAUACAGAAAUACACCGAAUCAAAAUGAGUCAAAUCAAUUAAUAUGUGUCAAAGCAGUGAGUCAAAAUAAAUUCAUUUAAACUGAAAGUGAAUCGAUGCAUUGAUACAACGUUAGUCAAAAGUGAAUCAAAAUAAAUGAAUGCAAUGGUUUUAAUACAAUGAGACAAAAUGAGUCAAAGCAUCGAAUCAAACUGAAUCAGUACAAUGAGUCAAAGUGAGUCAGGGCAGUCAAUGAAUCAAAAUUAAUUCAUGCAAUGAAUUAAAGCAAGUCGAGACAAUGAAUCAAAAUGAGUCCAUGCAAUGAAGUAAAAUACAUAUAAGCAAUGAAUCGAUAUGAAUCAGUGCAACGACUUAAAAUAAAUUCAAACAAUGAUUUAAAUGAGUAGUAAAUGAAUCGAAAUUAGUCAGUGCACGGACUUAAAACGAGACAGAGCAACAAAUCAAAAUGAAUCAGUUCAAUGAAUUAAAAAUUAUUCAGUGCAAUGAAUCAAAAAUAGUAAAUGUGAUGAAUCAAAAAGAGUCAAAGCAAUUAAUCAAAAUUAAUCAAAAGAUUAUUCCAUAUAGUGAAUCAAAGUAGUAAAUGUACUGAAUCAAAAUGAGUCAAGACAAUAACAAAUUAAUGCACUGAUUUAAAGGACACAUGCACUGAAUCAAAGUGAGUCAAAACAAUGAAUCUAAUUAAGUCAAAGCAGUGAAUCAAAAUGAAUCAAAACAAUAACAAAUUAAUGCACUGAUUUAAAGGACACAUGCACUGAAUCAAAGUGAGUCAAAACAAUGAAUCUAAUUAAGUCAAAGCAGUGAAUCAAAAUGAAUCAAAGUAAUGAAUGAAUAUUAAUCAAUGAACUGAAUCAAAACACAGACUAAUCUACAUACAGUAUACAUGAAAGAGAUAAACAUCUCCAGCUUAAAUCCAC
ensembl:lncRNA